GACAGGCUGUGUCAACGGUCACGAUUCUGCUCCUCUCCCUGCGGCAGGUGCUGCACGACUCCACUACUCGCUGACAACUAGCGGCAACGGACGCCGCUCCACUACCUGCAACAGGCCCUACGUGGCGGGCUAUGACAAUAGCCACGAGUCUACUCCACUACCCUUCGCAAUAAAUUCUCCUGACCAUGGGCGGCCCACUACCAGACGGUUACAAAUGUCGCCAUCAAUCCGUUGCCUCCUCCGCCUAUAAAAGGGAGACCCAGAUACGUUAUUCUCUAAGCUCAUUUUCUUAUCUCAAAACUCUGCUAAAUUCUCCGUUCGAGCACUCCAUUCUUGUUGAGGCAGAGAACUGACUGGAGCGUCGGAGGGUCUUGCCGGAGCAACCCCACCUCCGGUUUAGACUUCCUUUGCAGGUCCCGGCGGCGACCGCGGCUUCCCCGACUCCAGCUUCUCCAGCGCAGGCAGAUUUUUGCACCAACAUUUAUGCAUUUCAAAAUAUUUUGCAUUUCAUAUUGUCUUUUCUUUUCUUUUAUAUUUUUUCUUCUUCCC
rnacentral:lncRNA from 1 species